GCUUGGAGCUGGAGUUGAACCAGGGACCUUUGGACCACAGCGUUUCAGGAACUUCUUACAGUCAUGUGCUCUACCAAAUGAGCUAUGAAGGUGCUUAUAGAUGAAAACGGAGAAAACAUAGUGGCUUCGGCGACACACUUUGCCAACACAACAAUCAAGCCACCUGGUCAAUGAAAAAGGUUGAACAGUGCAUAGACCAAUGAAAUCUGGUGUUUGGAGCAGGAGUUGAACCAGCGACCUUUGAACCAGAGCGUUUCUAGAACUUCUUAAAGUCAUGUGCUCUACCAAAUGAGCUAUGAAGGUGCUUAUAGAUAAAAACGCAGAAAACAUAGUGGCUUCGGCGACACACUUUGCCAAAACAACAAUCAAGCCACCUGGUCAAUGAAAAAGGAUGAACAGUGCAUAUACAAAUGAAAUCUGUUGCUUGGAGCUGGAGUUGAACCAGCGACCUUUGGACCACAGCGUUUCAGGAACU